rnacentral:rRNA from 1 species
UCUCCUGGGCAUAAGCUUUGUUUGCUUUCUGAACGCCGGCGCGCACUUACUCAAUCUAGACGGUAGGAGGUGGUGAAGAGAAUUACUAAGUGGUGGUCCAAUGGAUCACUUGUUUGGAAUGAACGUAACUUAAAAAAUUCAAUGAGAAACAACUGGAGGGCAAGUCCUGGUGCCAGCAGCCGCGGUAAUUCCAGCUCCUUUAGUUUGCUUUAAAGUUGUUGCGUUUAAAACGCUCGUAGUUGGAUCAUGCAUCAAUGUUGAUUAAUCUUUAGAGCGGCGCGAGCCAUGUGAUUCGUCUCGUACGGUCCGCGGUUCAUCCACCUUUAAAUGUGAAGGCCCAGCACUGCUACUUGCACGUGAGAUAGAUUGUUGGCCUUGAAUGCACCCAUAUUCUCGGCUUGCGGAGUGUGCCUUGAAUAAAACAGAAUGCUUAAAGCAGGUCGUUGCCUGAAUGUUAUAGCAUGGAACGAACAAUCGUGUAUAUGUGCGCGUCUUUGGACGGUGACGGAUCUUUGGUCUGUUGUUGUCUGACAUGUGCACGGCACCCACCAAAAUAUGGCUGUUGGUUCCAUAUCCGGUGAUGAUUAAAAGGAGCGGUUGGCGGCAUCUGUAUUUGGCCGCGAGAGGUGAAAUUCUUAGACCGGCCAAGGACUAACAAAUGCACAGGCACUUGUCUAGACCGUUUCCAUUAAUCAAGAACGAAAGUGGGAGGUACGAAGACGAUCAGAUACCGUCAUAGCUCCCACCGUAAACUAUGCCGGACCUGGGAUCAGCUACGUAAAUGUUACAAGCUCCAAGUUCGCUCCCCCUGAGAAACCUAUUGUUUUUUCGGUUACAGGGAGAGCAUCGGUCGCAAAGACUGAAACUUAAAGGAAUUGACGGCACCGCCACGAGCAGGGGCGGCAGCUGCUGACUUAACUCUGACUCAAGAAGAGGUAAACUUACUGAUCCGACAUCGAUAGCAUAUCAGAUCACUAGCUCUUAUAUGAUCCGAUGAUUGCCGUGC